CCUACGGGUGGCAGCAGUGGGGAAUAUUGCACAAUGGGGGAAACCCUGAUGCAGCGACGCCGCGUGAGUGAAGAAGUAAUUCGUUAUGUAAAGCUCUAUCAGCAGGGAAGAAAAUGACGGUACCUGAGUAAGAAGCCCCGGCUAACUACGUGCCAGCACCCGCGGUAAUACGUAGGGGGCAAGCGUUAUCCGGAUUUACUGGGUGUAAACGGAGCGUAGACGGGAGUGCAAGUCUGGAGUGAAAGGCGGGGGCGCAACCCCCGGACUGCCGUGGAAACUGUACGGCUGGAGUGCGGGAGAGGUACGCGGAAUGCGUGGUGUAGCGGUGAAAUGCGUAGAUA
rnacentral:rRNA from 1 species